AUUGACGGGGGCCCGCACAAGCGGUGGAGCAUGUGGUUUAAUUCGAUGCAACGCGAAGAACCUUACCUGGUCUUGACAUCCACAGAACUUUCCAGAGAUGGAUUGGUGCCUUCGGGAACUGUGAGACAGGUGCUGCAUGGCUGUCGUCAGCUCGUGUUGUGAAAUGUUGGGUUAAGUCCCGCAACGAGCGCAACCCUUAUCCUUUGUUGCCAGCGGUUAGGCCGGGAACUCAAAGGAGACUGCCAGUGAUAAACUGGAGGAAGGUGGGGAUGACGUCAAGUCAUCAUGGCCCUUACGACCAGGGCUACACACGUGCUACAAUGGCGCAUACAAAGAGAAGCGACCUCGCGAGAGCAAGCGGACCUCAUAAAGUGCGUCGUAGUCCGGAUUGGAGUCUGCAACUCGACUCCAUGAAGUCGGAAUCGGCUGAUAAUCGUAGAUCAGAUGCUA
rnacentral:rRNA from 1 species